UCUAAUAUGGCAGAAUAGUGCAUUGGAUUUAAGAUUCAAAUAUAAAGCUUAAGUUUUUUUUAGAA
rnacentral:tRNA from 1 species